AUCGCUUCUCGGCCUUUUGGCUAAGAUCAAGUGUAGUAUCUAUUAUUCCCUCAGAGAUGGUUGGAGGUUCUAUGUUGUUUGCAUAUCGUCUGGCUCAUUAAUGAACUCAAUAAAUAUUGCUCAACUACCUAUCAUGAGCAAUCCUUG
rnacentral:snRNA from 1 species